rnacentral:rRNA from 1 species
CCUACGGGGGGCUGCAGUAGGGAAUAUUGCACAAUGGAGGAAACUCUGAUGCAGCGACGCCGCGUGAGCGAUGAAGGAUUUCGGUCUGUAAAGCUCUGUCGUAAGGGAAUAACAAAAUGAAUGUACCUUGCAAGAAAGGAUCGGCUAACUUCGUGCCAGCAGCCGCGGUAAGACGAGGGAUCCUAGCGUUGUUCGGAAUUAUUGGGCGUAAAGCGGGUGUAGGUGGCUUUGUAAGUCAGGUGUGAAAUCCCAGGGCUCAACCCUGGAAGUGCAUU